rnacentral:rRNA from 1 species
GACGAACGCUGGCGGCGUGCCUAAUACAUGCAAGUGGGACGCAAGGGAACACACUGUGCUUGCACACCGUGUUUUCUUGAGUCGCGAACGGGUGAGUAACGCGUAGGUAACCUGCCUAUUAGCGGGGGAUAACUAUUGGAAACGAUAGCUAAUACCGCAUAAUAUUAAUUAUUGCAUGAUAAUUGAUUGAAAGAUGCAAGCGCAUCACUAGUAGAUGGACCUGCGUUGUAUUAGCUAGUUGGUAAGGUAAGAGCUUACCAAGGCGACGAUACAUAGCCGACCUGAGAGGGUGAUCGGCCACACUGGGACUGAGACACGGCCCAGACUCCUACGGGAGGCAGCAGUAGGGAAUCUUCGGCAAUGGACGAAAGUCUGACCGAGCAACGCCGCGUGAGUGAAGAAGGUUUUCGGAUCGUAAAGCUCUGUUGUAAGUCAAGAACGUGUGUGAGAGUGGAAAGUUCACACAGUGACGGUAGCUACCAGAAAG